GAGGUAGUGACAAUAAAUCACAAUGCGGAUCUAUUAGUUUUGCAAUUGGAUUGAGAACAAUGUACAAAUGUUAUCGAUAAACAAUUGGAGGGCAAGUCUGGUGCCAGCAGCCGCGGUAAUUCCAGCUCCAAUAGCGUAUAUUAACGUUGUUGCAGUUAAAAAGCUCGUAGUUGAAUUGAAGUGAACUUGGGUUGAUGUGAUCUUCGGAUGACAUGAAUCAAAGUUGACUCUUUCCAAAGUCAAUACAUUGGUAUUCAUUUAUCUUUGUAUUGUGUUUGGUCAUUUACUGUGAGAAAAUUAGAGUGUUCAAAGCAGACGUUUGUUUGAAUACAUUAGCAUGGAAUAAUCAUAUAUGGCUUUCAUGUUGAUUUGAUUGGUUUGAAUAUGGAAGCAAGAUUAAAAGGGACAGUUGGGGGUAUUCAUAUUCAACAGUCAGAGGUGAAAUUCUGGGAUUUAUGGAAGAUGAACAAGUGCGAAAGCA
rnacentral:rRNA from 1 species